rnacentral:lncRNA from 10 species
AGGAGCCUGCCCUCUUGAGCUCUUGUGGUGACCUGGGAAUCAAUGUGUGAGGUGGUGCUAUGUAGCAGGAACCCCUCUUGCUUUGCAAAUAGUUUUUUGUUUGUUUUCCUUUUUGCCCAAUAGAGCCCUGCUCUACUGACCCUUCAAUGUGCCCGUGUGCCUAAAUAUUCCUGGUCGUGUGAAAAGAACCCAGGUAUUAGCUGAACUAAGGAGCACAAUUCUGCAACAUUUUGGCACCCAAACACGGGGCUUGAGAAAUGAAUGCAAUUGGAGAAACUGGUUGUUUUACCAGGCGUUGAUUGGAAAUGUGUGCUUCCCUUUAAGCAGUCAAGCUCAACUUGCAGAACUGAUGGGAACCCCUUGGGAAAACUGGCCUCAAAUGUUUGUCUACACAGUCCACAUACAGGGUUCUUAACCUGCGAUGAGGGAAACUUCCCAGGGCUUGUCUGGGUAUGCCCACAGUGGACUGGAGCCCAAAAUGCACACUGGAGGAAGUGGAUGGAGCCACGUGGAUGUCAUGCCUUAUGCAGGGGAGGAGCCUGCUCUCUUCAGCUCCUGUGGUAAUGUGGGAAUCGAUCUGUGAGGAAACACUUUCUGAAAAUGUCAGAACUCUUGAAAACAUGGAUGAGGAAAAGCAUAAGUACUGCUUUAUGCUUUUCUUAUGAAUUUUAAAAGAUGUAAUUUAAAGGUACUUUAAAGUGAUAUUUGUGCCCUUGUAACUGAUUCAAAGUAGACUGCUAAGGACAAUAAGUAAUAAGAGUCUACAAAUAUCAGUAAAUUAUGAGAAAAAACGGUCUAAUGGUACUUAAAAUUGCAUUGUGAUUUAUUAAAUAACAUUGAACAGCUCCACCUGUAACAUUAAGAUUCCAUUUGAGCAUAUAGAAAAUAUAUUUAUCGCAACCUGAAGUGAUUUGGAAAGUAUGCUGGGAAGAAAAUAUAUUUACAAAUUAGUCUCAGAGGGUAGGUAUCCUGUAGCCAGAUGGAAUAAGAAGAGAGGGAAGGGAGAUUUUGUUCAAAGGGGGAGCAUAAGCUAAGGAAUAAAGCCACAAACAAUGAUUAAAUUAGGUAAAGUGCAAUUAGCUGAAUAUUGCAUAAGCAUACAUAUGGGAAGAAGUGGAAAAAGGAGUGACAAUAUGAAGCUAAAGGGUUUGAAGUGUUCAAGAUAAUACUAGGCUUCCUAGCCUAUUCCGAGACAUCUUGUUUUAGAGUGCAAUAGAUAAGAACUCUAAGGAUGAAAGUAGGAGACAUGCAUUCUAGUCUACGUUUUGGUUAAUGGACUGAAAGUGAAAGAUGGACUGAAAUUGGGGGAUGGAAUAAAAAUGUGAUAGAAUAGAAAAUAGAAAAAGCAAUUAGCCUAAUGUCAUUGAUACUUAGAGAAAAUAUGGAAAAUAGUAAAUUAGUGAUAUAUAUCUUUUCUAAUUCACCAGGGUGAGUGAACAAAGGAAAUCGGAUUUAAAAGUAUUCAUGACAUAGAUGCAAUAAGGUUUCUCAGUCAGACAUAGCAAAUUGAGGGAAGGGAAGAUUUAGAGGAUUGGAAAAUGUCUUGCUUGUAGACUAAUAGGAUAUCAAUAAGCCAUAUGAGCAAUAAUUUGAAAUAGUUUUUGUAAAGUAUCAUGAAGGUAAACCCUGUUUAGAACAAAUUAGAUUUGAAGUACUUGUGACAAAUGCAAUUGACAAUGCCUUUAUGCAGCUGGAAAAUUGUUGCUUAGCAGAAAAGCUUGUGCUGGACAAAUAGAUGUCCAAAUUGAAUAGAUGUUUUCUUAAGCUGAACUAAUUGAGACAAAUAUCCUUAUUAAAUCAAAAAAUUAAAAAUUGAAAUAACUUACCUAUGAUAGGGUAAAUAAUGUUAUUAAUAUACACAAGAAAUAUGUGAUGUAUAUGUGUAUGUACAUAUGUAUACAUAGUAAUAAUACAUAGUGCUAUUUUUAAAUGAUAUUUUACAUAGUGCUUUUUUAAAUGAUUUUUCAAUCAUCGUUGUUGGUCUGUGUUAUUUUAAUCAUCAAAGCUGAUUGAUUUCUGUUUUUGUGUUUUUUUUUGUUUUUUUUGAGGUGGAGUCUCACUCUGUCACCCAUGGUGGAGUACAGUAGUGCGGUCUUAGCUCACUACAAACUCCACUUCCCUGAUUCAAGUAAUUCUUGUGCCUCAGCCUCUCGAGUAGCUUGGAUUGCAGGCAUGCACCACCACGAGCUGCUAAAUUUUUUGUAUUUUUUGUAGAGGGGUUUUGCCAUGUUGGCCAAGCUGGUCUCAAACUCCUGACCUCAAGUGAUCCGCCCUGGCUUCCCAAGCCCAGCUGAUUCCUGUUUAAAUAAAAACUUACAAAGAUCUUCCCACAAGUACUUUAUCUUACAAUUUACUGAACAAUAGAGGCAGUGAAGAUGUUUUUCAGAAAGCAAUUGUGAUCCUGACAUUUUCUUCUUAUAAUCCUGUGCUUUCCUCAUUUUUUUAUAUUAAAAGUAAUAGUUCUUGUGAUGGCAACUAGGAUUUGUAACAACAUGUACCCUCAUUUCCUGCAUGACCUUUUUUAUGUCACUUCUUCACAUGCAAAGUAUACUCCCUCAGUGUCAUUACAUUAUUUGAUUUUUGCCCUUUCCCUCACCUUUCCAUGUGUUUAUUUGCCUAUGCCCAUCUCCUAGUCACAUUUUAUCUAGUUAACGCCAACUUGACUUUCAAUGCUGUUCAAGAUUUACCUCAAUCUCAAGUGUUUUCUCUUUAUAUUCCAUACACGCUUAGCUUGGCUGCCAAUCCUCUUGGCUGCCAAAGAAUCCCAAAUUAUCUCUUUCAAAAAUACAAGAAAUAAAGGAUGGAGGAUAGGAAGGAGGGUGGUCAGGAAAGAACAAAGAAAGGAGGGGAGAGGAAAAAAAGAGAGAAAGAAAGAGAAUUAAAGUUAAGGAGGAAGAAUUUCACACUGAAUUAAAAUUGAUAAUAUUCAGGAAUGAUUUUAUAGUAGGCAUACAUUGAUAAAUAUUAGUUAAAUUAAUGAAUUAUUCCAAAAGAUCAUGAUUUGUAAAAAUUACCCUGAAGCACUUUAGGAAUAUUACAUUGAAAUAGGUAUGCAAUUUCUAAAGAAACUGGACUGCAAAAAUAGCCAUUGUGUGUACCUGUGGACCAGAAUAUUAUAUUUUGCUUAAGUUUGAAGUGUUAAAGUGCCCAACGUGCUCUUAUUUUAACCUAGCAAAUUUUCAGCAGAACUUAAGCUCAUAUAGUAUUUGAUUUUUUCAUUUCUCACAACUGUUGGAAUUCUGUUUUAUUGAAAAUUAUACAAUAAAAUGUUAAAAAAUCUUUGUUCCUGCAGUUAUGCAAUCUUAUGCCAAAGUCAAUAAAUUAUUAAAUUAAAAUCAAACCCACUAAGCCUAACAAUUUGAGAAAAUGAUUAUUAAAACAUAUACCAUUUAGAAGGGCAAUGCCUUUUUAAUAUUAUAGUGAAGACAACCCUAUCAAUUAUUUAAUACACCAAGAAUACAAGGAUAUAAAAUCUUUUUCUCUCAUAUAUCACAUUAUCUGAUGUAUUUAGCUGUGAUGACAUUCCAGAAAACAUCACUUUUUAAAAUUUCUAAGAUUUUAUUAUGUUGCUAGCAAAUCGAUUUUUUUCAAGUACUGUAACAAAAUCCCUAAAUGGGCUUUAUGAGAACUAUUUUCAGUGUGAUAUUAAUCAUAUUUUAUUUAUCAUCCAUACAUAGAUGGUAGCUUAUCUGGUAUUCCUAGUGUUUGAAGUGAAGAGUAACACACACACACAUCCCAAUACCAAUUUAAUUGAUAAAUAUAUAAUCAUUUGUUUUCAAAUAUUUAUGUUGAUACUUGCUUGUGUACUUACUUGUAAUGUAGGUCUGUAAAAGGGACUGUUUUCUUUCUGUGAAACUGAAGCUUAAAGCAGUGCUUGUCACAAAUUCAAAAUCACCUUGCUUUGUCAACAUUUUCAGAUGUUUUUGGCUCAGUCUGAUGACAGCAUCAGUGCAGUAAAGGGAUCUUAUUGAAAUGUUUUAACUAAAGAUAAAAUGCCACCACUAGGAGAAAAAUAAAAUCAAGGAAAUAAACAGAAAAUCAAUAAAUGUGAAAUGUAUUAUAAAUUUAUAUAAUAACAAUGUUGUAUGCUAUAAACAUCUCACUUUGUAAAAUUAACAAGAAUUCAGUGAGGCAGAUCAUUUUCUAUGUGUUCAGAAGUCAAGUCUUUGAUGGCUAAUUUUUAUAUUACUUCAUUACAAUAUCUCUACUGAAGCAAAAUAAUUGCAAAUCUUUUUGAAUGAAAUCAAUUUAUCUUUAAUUUUAGAUAAUAUUUGGUAUAGUUGGCAUAGUUUUGUCACAAAGCAUAGCUAACAUCAAUGUAGCCUUACGACUUCAAAUGUCUUUAUAGAUCUUUUCUGAAAUUGCAAAAUUUUACUUUGAAAUUAUUGUUAAUAUUUACGUUGCACAACCACAAAUGUAGAAAUAAAAUUAUAAAGUCUCCAGAUAAUGUUUUAUUUUAACCACACAUAUGUUGUGAUAGUUUCAAAUAAAUGAAAGCUCUACUGAUUUAUCAUUUUCAACAUCUUUACAUUAUUUAAGUAAUAUUAAUUAUAUUUAUGUAAAAAUACCUGAAUAGUCAUAACGAAAAUUUAAUAAUAAUGUAUAAUAUAUUGUUAACAUCUUUUAUUUUCACAAAAACACCAAGGAAGAAGCAGUGAGUAUUUUUUAUUUAUUUUAAAAAUUAACUUUUCAAUAAAUUAUUUAGGAAUGACUGGAAAUGUGCUGAGACAAAGAAGCAGUUGUCACUGUACACAAACAUGAAAUCAAUUACCUUUUGGAGAGUUUAUGAUGUGUGAGAGCUAGUGAAGUUACAUUGCAGAAGAGCAUAUAAGGAAAUCCAGAUCUGUAUAUAUUGUAGUAUAGUUUUAGUAUAAAUCUCUAAGAUUACACUUUAGACUAAGCCACAUAGUCAAACUGUUGUCUAUUUAUUCCUUUUGAAGAUUGAAACUCCCACAACUUUGGCAGACCAACUCCUCAGAAAACAUUAUUCUUUGACAUCAAUAUGUUUUGCACAAAAUUGAAUGGCAAGUGAAAGGCAUCAAAUGGAGCUGUCAUUUAAAUGUGCUUGCCAACUAGCUUGUUUAUCAAAACAUUCCAGACCCUUUCAAAUUCUCAUUUACAUUGUUUCUUGUUUACCACACCCAUAAAUUUGUAUUACCAGCAUAUUUAACUAUCCGGCUAUUUUGGAGAUUGAAAAAAGAAGACCUGAUUUAUCAUGUGCAAUAUCUCACACAUCUGUCAUUUCUAUUCUACCGCAAUUCGGUGAGUUCAGCCUCUUUUUACUUCAUGUUUGAAUAAUCGCAAUAGAUUUUAUACUGUUCUCACUGCUAAACUUGCUCCCCCUAUUACCCUACAGACACUCAUAUUCAUCUUGCAUAAUACCACCAGAUUAUUCUUUGUCCAUCUAUUUUCCUAGAUAUUUGUCCUCCACUUUCCUGUCUUUUUUUCUGCACUUCAUUCUACCCAUCUUAGUGAAUAGACAUCUUUUCAACUCUCUCAGGCUAUAUAUACAUCAAUUUUUCAAAAUCCAAGUAAAACUUCACGUCCUUGAGAGAAUUUUAGAGAGCGUGUAAUACCUACAUUUUUUUUUACCAUUUAUUAGGAAUAUAUCUCAGCCCCAGUUAUGUGAUUAUUACAUAUUAUAGUAUAUUAAUGUUUGCAAACUCCUUGUAAAAUCAUACACACCCCAUACUGCUAUAUUCAUUUCAAUAGCAAAACAGUUUCUUUUCAAUUUUGUAAUAAAUAUAUUAAGAUCCUGUCCUCCUCCAGGCCAAUUUUCUUCCCCUAUAUUUAAAGUGCUCUGAUGGAGGUAACUUAUUAAUAAUUUGAGCCUAAAACAGCUUUUCAAAUAUGCAUUUCAUUUUUGCACACCAAGCUGGUGUGUGCCUGCAGGCGCUAUUUCUAUUAAGUGAACAGCUGGAUAUUGUGUAGUGGAUUGACCAGGUGUUUGAGUGAACUCAUUAGUCACCAUAUAGAAGCAACUUAAAAGAAUGAGUCACAGUGAUAGUCAUCUCACUUUGGGAAAAGGAAAAGAAAUAAAUAAAAAUGUUUCAUAUCUAUCAGACAGCCACAAAGCACAGUCCCUAUCAACAGGAGCAAAUUCAAAUAAAAAUGGCCCCACCAUACAUAUUUUAUUUGAUUUACAUCUAGCACUGAAGAUAUACUUUAUGAAUUUUUCCUUUAUUCUGACAGUCAUAAAAUAAACGGAGGUGAAUCAUAUAACUUUUGAAUAUCUACAUAGCCAGAGAUAAACUCUGCAUAUUAAAUAUCUUCCAAUAUUACAUCUACCAAAAAACAUAGCAGAGGUCAUAUUUAUGUUGCAACUGAGAAAACACUCAAAUUAUUUAAAGAGAAAAUUUAAAUACUUUACUAAAAUUCACAUUAAAUUCUGAAUUUUACAUGGGUUUAUGUGGCUCUACCAUUCAUACUGUUGAACUUCUGAGUUAUUAAUAUUUACAAAUAACCCAUGUUCUUUCAAAUGAUUCCAAUGCUUACAGAAACACAUAUAAAAGUACAUACAAUGAAAUAAAACUGUGGCAAUGUAGAAAAAUGAAAACUAUAAUAUGACAACGCAAUGAAGCCAGAGUUAAUGUGAGCACAUGAAAUGAAAUCCUAACAUUUUCUCUUCAGCUUUGUCUCUGUGUCUUACUAUGCUAAUGUAGGUAAUAAGCAGUAUUGAUAGCUGGAAGAAGUAAAUUAGCACAUGAAAAGAACCUUGAUUAUUAUUUGUGCAAUUCCUGGAGUCCACUGAUACUUACCAACUCUUAAAGCUUAGAUCUAGGGUAUCCAAACACUGCUUCCUUUCCAAGAAGGAAACAUACAAAAAAACUAAGGCAGCAUGCUCUAAUUCUUUUUUUCUUUUUUUUCUUUUUUAGAUGGAGUCUUGUUCUGUGGUCCAGGCUAGAGGGCAGUGGCAUGAUCUCGGCUCACUACAAGCUCUGCCUCCCGGGUUCACGCCAUUCUCCUGCCUCAGCCUCCUGAGUAGCUGGGACUACAGGCGCCCGCCACCACGCCUGGCUAAUUUUUUGUAUAUUUACUAGAGAUGGCUAGUGUUAGCCAAGAUGGUCUCGAUCUCCUGACCUCGUGAUCUGCCCACCUCAGCCUGCCAAAGUGCUGGGAUUACUGGCGUGAGCCACCGUGCCUGGCCAGCAUCCUCUAAUUAUUAUUCAUAGUUUGUGAAUUUAGGCCUACGUGAAUAAUAAUAUAAUAUUUACUAUGAUGUUACUAUCUACCAACCUUAUUUUUCUUUUCUAUAAAAUAGGAGCCAAAAUAAUAUUUAUGUCAUACCUUAUGAAGUUAAAAUAAAAUAUAACGAAUGAGGGGCUUAACAAUGAGUGUCAUUUUGUAAUUACUUUGUACCAUUAUUAAUUGCUGAGACAGAAUAUGGUAUCACUAGUCAUCUGUAUCUAUUGCACAACUUUAUUUUGAUUCAUUCCUUACUAUUUUGCAUAGAUAGGCCUAAAUUUUUGAUCCACUGCUCAACUCCUGUCUUUAAACCAUUGGUUCUCAAAUAGAGUUGAUUUUGACACCUAGGGAACAUUUGACAACAUAUGGAGAUAUUGUUGAUUUUACAGGGCAACCCUUCAUAAGCACAGAAUUAUCUGGCCCCAAAUGUCGACAGUGUCAAGUUCGAGAAACUCUGCACUAGGCUUUUCUGUCUGGUUACUCACCCCUCUUCUUUGCACUGCCCCCAGUUUUAUGGAUAUUGAAUUCCUGAUUUCUCACUAUAUUAAUUGCACUUAUAGAUAUUCUAAAUUGAUUUGUAUAUAUCUUCCUAGUUUGACCCAUUGCUUUUAACUGAAUUUUACUGGGCUUUUAUAAAGGCCAUUUCCAUGGAGUUUAGUCAUUAUCUUCACCAAAUUUUUAUUUGCUUCAGUCUGGGGAGGAACUCUAUAUUAAAAAAUAAAAACAAACCCAAAAACUAAUUUAUGAAAGACAUUUUAUAAUGUAAUUACUUAAACAUUUUUUUUCUUCUUUCUCAUACGAUCUUUUAAAUUCAGUGAGUGACAUGUGGUUUUCAGGCUGGGUCAGGAAGUUUGCUUGGACGGGGAAAUUCUGUCUGCUGAGACACUAGGGGAGCAAAUGCCUAUGUGGGCACAGGCUGGUCACUGACCUCCUAGGGUUCCCUGACAAUAAAUUAGUCCUAGUUGAGGUCGCCAUCAUCAGAACUUAAUUGGUCCCUGGUACUGGUGAAUCUCUGCACCACAGAGACUAAUCAGUUACAGAACUCAGCUUCUGGGCAUAGGCAACCUUUUCUGUUUUUUCAAUUUUUUGUCAGCAAAGUUGAGAAAAUGAACACACUCAAACAGCCCAUUUCUUAGCUUAUCAAUAUCCGUACCCACUUCUUUCCCUCAUCAACAUGUAUUUUCCAUAUUUUGUUGGUAUUAACCUCUGACACUCAUCCACACAAGAAAGUCUACAAAGCCUAAACUAACUUUUAAACAUUAUUUAAGGUAAUAGCUUUGUCUUCCACCAGAAACCUGGCGACAUUUUUAAAAGGAUUUGAAGAGAUAUAUACCCGAGGGACAGAGAGAAAAAUUAGUGCUGACCAGUCUGGGCCUACUUGACUAACACAAAAUAGAUUAAAUUAAUAAAAACAAGAUGUUCUGCAUUUAUAAACAUGUUAACUCUUUUUAAUGUGUAUGACUCAUUAAUGAGUUCAUAAUUAGAUUUUGAAGGAUUUCAUUCUGGACCUUGCAGAUUGUAUGUAUCUUUCUGGUAAAUUAGGAAGUAUAAUUUUUCAAUAAAAAAGCUCACUGGAAACCCCUGUAACAAGUAAUAAAUAUUUAAAAUUUGCAGAAAUGUUUACUUAUUCAAUAAAUACUGACUCCACAUUAAGAAAUGCUAGAGAUAAAGCAUUUCUAAAGGCAAAUUCUACUGUUUCCUGGUUUUACAUUCUAGAUUUUAAGACAAAGAUGGCUGCCUUGAAAUUUUAGUUAUGUGAAAGAAAUUUCGUAAUGAUAUAACUUUUUCUUACUCUGACUCUGUGAGACUUUUGUUUAUAUUUUAUGAAACUAUUUCUAUAGCACAUGUUAUAUAAAUAUAUUUGAGAAAUCAUUUUUAGCUUUCAGAAAUUAGUUUGCUUAAUACAUUUUAAUUUUAAUAAAGCUCCAUUCCUCUAGUCCUUUCAUAUCUGGAAUAUAUUUCCUAUACAAUAUCUUCUAUAUUAUUUAAUACUGCUGUUUUUUAAAAGAGAAAUUGAAACCUUUUACUCAUAUAUACCAGACUUCCAAAACUGUCUUGGUUUGAAAAUCAGUUCUCCAAAAUACUUUCUCUAACUUAACUUUAUAUCUUAGGUGCAAAUACAAUCCUGAUAAAUACUAUAGUCAGGCAUUUUAAAAACUUUAUGUUUCCCAUAUACUCAGCAGAGUAUCAUCUUCUUGCCCUUUCCCUCACUAUGGUAUCCUUCAAGAACUUAUUAGCUCAAAUUCCAAAUCCUCAAUGAAACAAUCAUCUAUCAAUUUCAUAAUUCACUGUUUUAUUCAAUAAAUAUUUAGUGAAUGAUUUCUGUGUGUCAGGAGUGUAUUGGGAGCUUGGGGACAAAGUGGUGGGCUAGAUAGGCAU